CUGUCGUCAAAGGCCUUGCUAUGUAGAUUCUAAGAAUUAUUUACGAAACUUGGUUGGAUUUUGGCUGGUGCAUUGUAUUCAUUUACGCAAAAAAGAACAAAAAUAAAUAAUAAGUAAUAAACUUUAUGACUUGACUUUAUUAAAAAGGUCUGGCAUUUUCAGCAAGGCGCAAUUUCAAUGGUAUGAAUGGUCUUAGGAGACAAAUGCAUGAAAAGUCAAGUGGCUUUGAUUAAUUUUAGUUCUUCUUAUUCACCCUCUGAGAACUUGUGGCGAAAUUUCUAGGAAGUGGUGCUAAGAAAAGUUGAGGCCGCUAUAGAGUUUUAUUUAACAAUGUCAUUCAGCAACUUCUAGCAGCUUUCAGUGUCACUUCUUGGUAGCUGGUGGCAAUGCUUGGAGUCAACUAAAUGAUUGGGAUUGCCAGGUCUAAGAAAAGUUGACUGAUUUACAACAAUCUUUGAAUAAUUUAUAAGAAUUGUGAUCUCUGGGUAUUUAUGUCACUAUCAAAAGUUACCAAGUUCUUCAAUAGAAAUGAAGAUUCAUGCUUGAAGAUCCUUUAUUUGUGCAACUCGCAGUCCUUGAAAGAGGGUGUCUGCAUCCAUAGCCCAAUUAUCAAAUUGGGUCUUCAGGAUAACUUGUUUUUAAAUAACAAUCUACUGUCUCUUUAUGCUAAAUGCUUUGGAGCCAGACAAGCACGCUACUUUUUUGAUGAAAUGCCUUACAGAGAUGUCGUAUCAUGGACGGGGAUACUUUCUGCUUAUGUCAGGAAUGGAGACCACGAUGAGGCACUUGAAUUGUUUGAUUCUAUGGUUGUGUCCGGGCAUAACCCAAAUCAGUUCACACUCUCAAGUGUCUUAAGAUCAUGUUCUGCUCUCGGACAAUUUGAUUAUGGGACGCGUGCUCAUGCCUAUGUGAUAAAGUUUGGUUUCGAGUUAAAUCCACUUUUGUGCAGUGCUUUGAUUGAUUUUUAUGCCAAGUGUGAUUGUAGUGAGGAAUCUUAUAGCAUAUUCGGAGAUAUGGACAAUGGUGAUACCAUUUCUUGGACAACGAUAAUCUCUUCACUAACUCAAGCUCAAAAAUGGAGUCUGGCUUUGAAACACUAUAUUGAUAUGAUCAAUGCCAGGGUUCCUCCAAAUGAGUUCACUUUUGUAAAGCUUUUUGCAGCUUCCUGUUUUCUUGGUAUGAAUUAUGGGAAAUUACUACAUGCCCAUUUGAUAAUGCUGGGAAUUAGGCUGAGCUUGAUUUUGAAAACAGCACUUAUUGAUAUGUAUUCAAAAUUCCAGAUGAUGGAUGAUGCUAUUAAGGUCUCUAAUCAGACACCUGAAUACGAUGUGCAAUUAUGGACCUCUGUAAUUUCUGGAUUCACUCAUGUCUUGAAAAUCAACGAGGCUAUUGCCGCAUUGCAUGAGAUGAAAACCUUUGGAUUUGUGCCAAACAAUUUUACAUAUUCUAGCAUUCUGAAGGCUUGCUCAACAGCUUUGUCAUUGGAAUUGGGGAAACAAAUUCAUUCCUUGGUGAUUAUGACUGGCUUUGAGGAAGAUGUUUGUGUUGGCAAUGCACUAGUUGAUAUGUAUACGAAAUGUUCCACCCUCAUGGAAGAUGCUCUGAUAGUCUUUAGGGGGAUAACCUCACCAAAUGUCAUAUGUUGGACUUCUUUGAUUGCUGGUUUUGCUGAACAUGGUUUUGAACAAGAUUCUUUUGAGUGUUUUGUGCAGAUGCAAGCAGCAGGAGUGCGGCCAAAUUCCUUCACUCUCUCUGCCACUCUUCGGGCCUGCAGUACAGUUAAAUCUUAUACUCAAACAUUGAAACUCCAUGGUUACAUAAUGAAAACUAAAUCAGAUUGUGAUAUAGUUGUUGGGAAUGCUCUCGUAGAUGCUUACGCUGCAUUGGGAAUGGUGGAUGAUGCAUGGCAUGUUAUUCGCAUGAUGAGUCAUAGAGACACUAUUACAUAUACAAGUUUAGCCACGCGAAUAAAUCAGAUGGGCCACCAUGAAAUGGCACAGGAUGUCAUCACUCACAUGAACAAUGACGAUAUUAAGAUGGAUGGAUUUAGCCUGGCAAGUUUCUUAUCUGCUUCAGCUGCCUUAGCAACAUUGGAAACUGGGAGGCAACUUCAUUGUUAUGCUUUUAAAUCUGGUUUAAACAGCUGCAUUUCAGUUUUAAAUGCCUUAAUUGACAUGUACUGGAAAUGUGGUUGUGCAAGUGAUGCUUAUAGAGCUUUUGGGGAAAUUUCUGACCCGGAUGUUGUAUCUUGGAAUGGGUUAAUAUCUGGAUUGGCAUCAAAUGGGUAUACCUCCUCUGCUAUCUCUGCCUUUGAAGACAUGAGGUUAGCAGGAUCUAAACCUGAUUCCGUUACAUUACUUUUUGUACUUUUUGCGUGCAGCCGUGGUGGUUUGGUUGACAUGGGUCUUGAGUAUUUUCAAUCUAUGAAAGAAAAAUAUGAUGUAGCCCCACGACUGGAUCACUAUGUGUGUUUGGUUGACCUCCUUGGCCGAGCUGGCCGAUUAGAGGAUGCCAUGGAAGUUAUUUUAAACAUGCCAUUUAAGCCACAUCCUCUAAUUUACAAGACACUAUUGGUGGCUUGCAAAUUACACAAGAACCUCCCUCUAGGGGAAGAUAUGGCAAGAAAAGGUAUUGAGCUUGACCCAUCUGAUCAAGCUUUCUACUUGCUGCUUGCAAAGUUGUAUGAUGAUUCUGGGCAGUCUGACUUAGCCAUGAAGACUCGUAGGCUAAUGAGAGAGAGAGGAUUGAGGACGAAUCCUAGCCAAAGCUGGAUGGAACUAAGGAAUAAAGUUCAUACGUUUAUUGCAGGAGAUAGAUCCCACCCACAAAUAAAUGAGAUCCAAGAUAAAAUAGAAUCACUUAUUACCAAGUUUAAGCAUCGAGGAUUGCAUGAAGACAUGGAGGGAAGUUCUUAUCAUAGUGAGAAGUUAGCCUUGGCAUUUGGGCUCCUGAAUACUCCUUCCAAUGCUCCCAUACGGAUAAGCAAGAAUAAGCCAAUAUGCAGUGAAUGCCAUGACUUCAUAAUGCUGGCAACUAAAUUGGUUGACAGGGAGAUAAUUGUGAGGGAUGGCAACCGAAUCCAUGCCUUCAAGAAGGGCGAGUGCUCAUGCGGAGGCUGCUACUAAUUUGCAAGGGCAAUCAUAUCAUGAUUUGCUAGGUUAAUUUUAAUGAUCUCGAACAGAUUUUAUGCCAUUGCUGUGUCUUUUGCAAGGAUGAAACACUUUUGUCUGAUUUUGACAAACAUUUGAUAUUGUCAAGGAGAUGGGAAAAACGGAGCCGCCAACCAUCAAGUCAUAUACGCCUACUAUGGCAACUUACCGUGGUCUCUGGAAAUUGGCCAGGUUAUUGACGACUAAGAAUUGCAGUGUGUUCCGGCCAGUAUUGACGAUAAGACAUAUUUUUGUUAUUUGGAUUUGGCCGGAAUUUUAUUUUAUAUUAUUAUUAUUAUUCUUUUUGAAGAAAAAUAUGCUUACUUGAAGAGUUGUUAAAUAAUUGCACCAGAGGAUUCGUAAAAAUCUAACUGCAUAAUAGAUGGUAAAAGCGUUUAAUUCGAGGUCUGUUGCUAUGAAACUACGCCCCUCCUCUCCCUACAUGUCCAUUUUCAAAGAAUCAACUAAUGCUAUUGCAAUCAAAGCUGGCAUUAUGAAGUAAUUAUUCUCUAACCACAAUACAAAGUCUCAACCGAAUCGAACCAUAUUUCUGUGGACCACACAUCCCAAAGUUUGAUAGAAGCUAAGAGCUAAUGUUGCUUUACAUGACUCAUUUCGCACAAAAAAGCCAACAGAACAGUAAAAAAAAAAAAGGGGGGGCAAAGUUCCUUUUUUUGACAAAUAGGGGGCAAAGUUCUUGUAAUGCCAGUCAAGUGUAGAUUAUUAGAGAUUGAAGCCUUCGUCUCAUAAAAUUAAGCUCUAUUGAAUCUAGCAAUCAGA